GAACACGUUUGGACAGUGACUUUAUGCCUGUCCAGAUGUCCCAGGACUGCUGUGAUGAGGCUUGCAAUGAAAUGAAGCAUUCCUUACUGAUUUUAAAUAAUAUGAUGAGAAUUGUUUAAGAAGCAUCCAUGGAACAUAUCAGAGGCAAGUGAAAGGGCAACUGUUACAGAGAGCACAAUCAGAAACUUCUAGACCAGAGAGAAUACCUCAGGAUGAGAUUCAGCAGACGACAUUUGGCUAAUUUGUAUUCUUGAAAAAGAACCUAUCAGGAUUAUGAAGAAUUUAAUAAGAAAAGAAGAAAGGAGAGAUUAUUUUCAAACCAAAAAAUCUGCAAUGAAUUUAUGA